rnacentral:lncRNA from 1 species
GUGUUAUUUUCAAGAUGGCUGCUGUCAUUCGACGAGAAUCGACAGCAACUGCAGAUCCCCAUAUGCCCAUACCCUCCAUACCCCUGCAUAGGAAAACUUUUGACAACCACUCAACACAACAAUCCGCCAUUUAGCGUUUUGGAUUUAGGGUGUCAGAGGUGUCCAAUAGAUGACAUAGGCGUCGUCGUUUUCAUGUGAUGGCGAAAAGUUGAUGGAAGGAACGGGAAAAGAAACAGUAGCAUACAAGUAGCCUACCAUCACUACCACCAACUUUAUUAUUAAAAAUCUUCAUUCUGCUGAAUGCAUCAUGUAGUUAAUACAGCAGUUUCUAUUGAUCUUGGUCACUACUCCAGAGUGACCCAACUGGUGUGAACAUGUUUGUUUUUCUGAACAUGUUUUUCAACAAACAAUUCAUUGACAUACAAGUAAAGCUAUGAAAAAUAUCAUAUCAUCUAGGCCAUGGGUAAUCUUCAGGUUUAUUGCAGCAGCUUAAUAGAAGAAUAUGAACAAAUGCAGGGCACAUACCAACAUGUGUUGUAUUUUUCUGAAUGUUAAACACGAGUAGUAGAUUCAACAUGACUAACUGUUUGAUGCUAAAGUUAGUUGGAACUCAACUCACUGUAUGUACAGAUAACUGGUGUUGUUGCCUUUCAGUCACAGGCAGGAAAAUUAUUCUUUUCUUCAGAAAAAUCUAGUGAAAGCCGAAAGGCAUGUCGAAUUCAAUCCAGCCGCUGCGUUCAGUCAUUUGGAACAGGAAUCUAAUGGCUGUCAAUAGGUGGCUGUGAAUAAGUGGCUGAAUGAUGUCCACCAGGUAGCGCGAGUCGGCGAGUGUCUUCAGGGAUGAUUAGCGGCCAUUUUGUUCCAAGACGCAGCAGGAGUUGGUUGUCACGUUUCUCACGAUGAAAAUUAAAAGGUGAUGUAGCACGUAGAAACCAAUUUGUCAAAUCAUUCAACUCAGACUUGGAAGUGCCUGUACAUUUCCGAAAUGGCGUGCCUCGUGCGUCUCGCUGCUUGUUCUUAGGCGUACGUCUUAUCCCAUGCAACAGAGAAAAGUAUAACUAACACUUCUUUAACGCUGGUGGUUACCUUGUUGCAGCCAAAUGGUGAAAGGUGUGACGAAAACAGAUUGAGCCUUUGUAUGCAGCAUGCGGUUGCAGCGUAAUCCAGAAAGUAGCUGUGCUGUUGUAGCUGAGCUGUUCCAUCUGGGUUCCUGACUUAAACAUGUUUGUGUUUUCAUCCAUGCCAUAUGAAAUUGCUCUGCCAGUGAUAUUUUGUGUUGCUGCGUUAAAAGUUUGAUCUGUUGUUUUGAGUUUUCAUUCAAUCAUGCAGUAUACGACUGAGGCAACCUGACCAAUGUCAGGUUUGAAACAGUCGAGAACUGCUAGAUAAAACAAACUUUCUGCGCCAAACAAAUAAUAACUUGCAUAUAACUUG